GUUCGAGAGCACGCCGGCCGUCUCAGGCGAUGUCACCAGGUUGUAGUCGUUGCACAGGUCCUGGACAAUCCCCAGUCCCUGGCUCCUGCUCCGCGCCUUGCACACGUACAUGCGUGGCCAGUGCAUCCACGCAAAGUGCCACUCGUCUUUGAGGUCCGUGAUCACCACCCACGGCUUGAGGGUGCGGCAUUUGAUGUUCAC
rnacentral:lncRNA from 1 species